ACACCGGCGGCCCGAGUGGUGAUCGUGAUUAUUGGGUCUAAAGGGUCCGUAGCCGGUUUGGUCAGUCCUCCGGGAAAUCUGAUGGCUCAACCAUUAGGCUUUCGGGGGAUACUGCCAGGCUUGGAACCGGGAGAGGUAAGAGGUACUACAGGGGUAGGAGUGAAAUCUUGUAAUCCCUGCGAGACCACCUGUGGCGAAGGCGUCUUACCAGAACGGGUUCGACGGUGAGGGACGAAAGCUGGGGGCACGAACCGGAUUAGAUACCCGGGUAGUCCCAGCCGUAAACGAUGCUCGCUAGGUGUCAGGCAUGGCGCGACCGUGUCUGGUGCCGCAGGGAAGCCGUGAAGCGAGCCACCUGGGAAGUACGGCCGCAAGGCUGAA
rnacentral:rRNA from 1 species